GUAGUUGUAGCUCAAUAGGUAGAGUAACUAUUUGUGGCAUAGUCGGUUCCCGGUUCGAAUCCGGGCAUUUACC
rfam:Hammondia hammondi strain H.H.34 contig01515, whole genome shotgun sequence.